rnacentral:rRNA from 1 species
AUCGAACGCUGGCGGCAGGCCUAACACAUGCAAGUCGAACGAGUGGCGGACGGGUGAGCAAUGUCGGGGAAACUGCCUGAUGGAGGGGGAUAACUACUGGAAACGGUAGAUAAUACCGCAUACCAUCGUAUGUGCCCAGAGGGGAUUAGCUAGUGGGUGGGGAAAAGGUGCACCUAGGCGACGAUGCCUAGCUGGUCUGAGAGGGUGACCAGCCACACUGGGACUGAGACACGGUCCAGACUCCUACGGGAGGCAGCAGUGGGGAAUAUUGGGCAAUGGGCGAAAGCCUGAUAGAGCAAUGCCGCGUGUGUGAAGAAGGCUUUCGGAUUGUAAAGUACUUUCAGCAGAGAGGCGUUACCCGACGAGGAAGCAACGGCUAACUACGUGCCAGCAGCCGCGGUAAUAC